GGCUUAGGCUAUAAAAAAAAGCCUAUGAAUCCUAAUAGGCCGGCCUGUUUAUGCAUGUUAGGCUUCAUAGUGGACUUUUUAAAUAGGCUUUAAAGCUUUAUAGUGAAAUAUACGAUGGCUUUUAAGUAGGCUUUAAGACAUGUUUAACCUAUUUAGUAGGCCAAAUGAACUAUUUGAUGGCCUUAAUGUGAAGUAGGCUUGUAAGUAGGCUU
rnacentral:lncRNA from 1 species